CCCGAGUCUGCGCGAGCUGUCCAUGCCAGGCCCCGAUGCUGUAUGCGCUGCUCAGCUUCUUCUUCUGGGCUUCCACAGGCUCGUUUCAAUCUCGCCCUGGGUGCUUCCUCUUGAACUGUGUACCCUCUCCACCGUGUCGGCCUCCACAGUCUCUGUGGUCUGUUAUUCUGGCAGGCCUCUUCCUGACUGCCCUUGCCAGUGCAGGGGACCAGCGUGGUCCUCGAGCGGAGAUGUCCGCCUCGGCAUGUGCCGUCCCCAUGAGGCUGGGUUCACCCC